GGUGGUGGUGCAUGACCUUUCUUAGUUGGUGGAGUGAUUUGUCGGCUAAAUUGCGAUAACGACCGAGACCUUAACCUGCUAAAUAGCCCGUCCUGCUUUGGCAGUUCGCCGGCUUCUUAGAGGGACUAUCGGCUCAAGCCGAUGGAAGUUUGAGGCAAUAACAGGUCUGUGAUGCCCUUAGAUGUCCUGGGCCGCACGCGCGUUACACUGACAGAGCCAGCGAGUAUUUCCUUGACCGGAAGGUCCGGGUAAUCUUGUUAAACUCUGUCGUGCUGGGGAUAGAGCAUUGCAAUUAUUGCUCU
rnacentral:rRNA from 1 species